rnacentral:rRNA from 1 species
UAGUACACUUAGAUUUAAUGAAUAAAUACUAGAAUAUUAGAAGUUAUGUUCUUUAAAUUUAAAAAAUUUGGCGGUGUUUUAGUCUAGUUAGAGGAACCUGUUUUAUAAACGAUACAACACGCAUUAUUUUACUUGUUUUGGUUAAUCAGCUUGUAUACCGUCAUUAUAAGAUAAUUUAGGAGAAAAUAUUAUUGUAAUCAUAUUAUUGAGUAUAUUAGAUCAAGGUGCAGCUUAUAAAUAAGUAAAUAUGGGUUACAAUAAAAUUUAUUUAUUAUGAAUUAAAUAUUGAAAUAUAAUUAUGAAGGAGGAUUUAAUUGUAAGAAAGGGAGUAGCAAGAUUUUCUGAUAUAAGCUCUAAAUUAU